ACACACGCUGGCGGCGUGCUUCACACAUGCAAGUCGAACGGAAAGGCCCUGCUUUUGUGGGGUGCUCGAGUGGCGAACGGGUGAGUAACACGUGAGUAACCUGCCCUUGACUUUGGGAUAACUUCAGGAAGCUGGGGCUAAUACCGGAUAGGAGCUCCUGCUGCAUGGUGGGGGUUGGAAAGUUUCGGCGGUUGGGGAUGGACUCGCGGCUUAUCAGCUUGUUGGUGGGGUAGUGGCUUACCAAGGCUUUGACGGGUAGCCGGCCUGAGAGGGUGACCGGCCACAUUGGGACUGAGAUACGGCCCAGACUCCUACGGGAGGCAGCAGUGGGGAAUAUUGCACAAUGGGCGGAAGCCUGAUGCAGCAACGCCGCGUGCGGGAUGACGGCCUUCGGGUUGUAAACCGCUUUCGCCUGUGACGAAGCGUGAGUGACGGUAAUGGGUAAAGAAGCACCGGCUAACUACGUG
rnacentral:rRNA from 1 species